UACGUAGGGGGCAAGCGUUGUUCGGAAUUACUGGGCGUAAAGGGCGCGUAGGCGGCACAGCAAGUCGGGAGUGAAAGCCCGGGGCUCAACCCCGGAACUGCUUUCGAAACUGCUGAGCUAGAGUGCGGAAGAGGCAACUGGAAUUCCCAGUGUAGCGGUGAAAUGCGUAGAGAUCGGGAAGAACAUCGGUGGCGAAAGCGCUCUACUGGACCGCAACUGACACUCAGGGACGAAAGCUAGGGGAGCGAAUGGG
rnacentral:rRNA from 1 species